AUUGAACGCUGGCGGCAGGCCUAACACAUGCAAGUCGAACGGUAACAGGAAACAGCUUGCUGUUUCGCUGACGAGUGGCGGACGGGUGAGUAAUGUCUGUGAAACUGCCUGCUGGAGGGGGAUAACUACUGGAAACGGUAGCUAAUACUGCAUAACGUUGCAAGACCAAAGCGGGGGACAUUCGGGCUUCUUGCCAUCGGAUGUGCCCGGAUGGGAUUAUCUAGUAGGUGGGGUAACGGCGCACAUAGGCGACGAUCCCUAGCUGGUCGGAUAGGGUAACCAGCCACACUGGAACUGAGACACGGUCCAGACUCCUACGGGAGGCAUCAGUGGGGAAUAUUGCACAAUGGACGCAAGGCUGAUGCAGCCAUGCCGCGUGUAUGAAGAAAGCCUUCGGGUUGUAAAGUACUUACAGCGGGGAGGAAGGGAGUAAAGUCAAUACCUUUGCUCAUUGACGUUACCCGCAGAAGAAGCACCGGCUAACUCCGUGCCAGCCGCCGCGGUAA
rnacentral:rRNA from 1 species